rnacentral:rRNA from 1 species
CCUACGGGACGCAGCAGUGGGGGAUAUUGCACAAUGGGGGGAACCCUGAUGCAGCGACGCCGCGUGGGUGAAGGAGCGUUUCGGCGCGUAAAGCCCUAUCGGCAGGGAAGAAGGAGGACGGUACCUGACUAAGAAGCCCCGGCUAACUACGUGCCAGCAGCCGCGGUAAUACGUAGGGGGCAAGCGUUAUCCGGAUUUACUGGGUGUAAAGGGAGAGUAGGUGGCAGAGCAAGUCCGAAGUGAAAACCCAAAGCUCAACUAUGGGAAUGCUUUAGAAACUGCUCAGCUAGAGUGCAGGAGAGGCA